rnacentral:pre_miRNA from 1 species
UUUAAACACAUUUGUGGAUUUUCGUGUCCAACAUUUUAUCAUCGUUUUAUUUAAUUUUUUUUUAUGAUUAGUAUUUUUGUUAUUAUUAGAUGAAACUUGAAUAGUAGCUUUAUGCAUGACUUUUGUUAUAUAUUUUUAUAAAUUUCUUAAAUAAGACAUACGGUUAAACGUUGUAUUUACGUGGAAUUUCGCGACUGCCUUUUCA